AACGAACGCUGGCGGCAUGCCUAACACAUGCAAGUCGAACGAGACCUUCGGGUCUAGUGGCGCACGGGUGCGUAACGCGUGGGAACCUGCCCUUAGGUUCGGAAUAACUCCCCGAAAGGGGUGCUAAUACCGGAUAAUGUCUUCGGACCAAAGAUGUAUUGCCUUGGGAUGGGCCCGCGUUGGAUUAGCCAGUUGGUAGGGUAAAAGCCUCUCAAGGCGACGAUCCAUAGCUGGUCUGAGAGGAUGAUCAGCCACACUGGGACUACGACACGGCCCAGACUCCUACGCGAGGGAGCAGAGGGGAAUAUUGGACAAGGAGCGAAAACCUGACACAGCAAUGCCGGGUAAGUGAUGAAGGCCGUAGGGUUGUAAAGCUCUUUUACCCGGGAUGAUAAUGACAGUACCGGGAGAAUAAGCUCCGGCUAACUCCGUG
rnacentral:rRNA from 1 species